rnacentral:misc_RNA from 1 species
CAUUACUACAAAAGCAACAGCAACUUCAAGUAAAUUGAGAAGGCGUGGGGAAGCCGCCUGCAAGAAUCAGCCCCCCGGUUUCGCCCGGCGGGAGCUGGGAGAGGAAUAGGCUGGAGGGGCGCUGACCACCUGGACGGGCAGAUUGGACCUCGCUCGGCGCGAGCGGGGGCUACUCGCGUCGUGAUGGAAUCCCGCCUCGGGUGGAAGGCGCCCCGCGGUCGGGAACGUCGGAGGAUCGCGCGCGGCGAGGAGCCAACAUGGCGGCCGCCUCUGCCAACCCCACUAGAGGGGAGAUUGGAGCUCGCGCGUCGCUUGAAGACCCGACCCGUGACCACCGUUCCCCGCCGAAACGAUCCCGGCGGACGCCCAGUGGCGAUUCCCGAACCAAACUCUCUGCGUACGAAUCCCCGUUGCUUCCCCGGGCGCCGUCCCGGGGGAGGUCUCAGAGCGAACGAUGCCGCCCAACCGACCAGCUGGCCCUCAGUCUGACGGCCGUCGCGCCAAAGAAGAAGGGAAAAGAAUACAAACAAAGAAAAACUUUCAACAACGGAUCUCUUGGUUCCCGCAUCGAUGAAGAACGCAGCGAAAUGCGAUAAGUAAUGUGAAUUGCAGAAUUCAGUGAAUCAUCGAAUCUUUGAACGCACAUUGCGCCCCCUGGCACUCUGGGGGGCAUGCCUGUUCGAGCGUCUCCAGGAAGAACUCUCGCGCUAGUGGAAGCGCGGUCGUGGCGGCUGUGGCGUGCCCUCGCGGGCUGCCACCC